UUUUUAUUGAAAAUGGCUGAGAAAAAAAAAAGAGAUUUCAGAAACUAAGAUGAGUAUUAUGACUAACAACCCUUCUUUACAAAACAAUCCCGUAAAGCUUGAUGGUAUUAAUUAUCUUGCGUGGUCAAGAUCCUGUUUAUUGUUCAUUCAGACUAGAGGAUUGCAAGGACAUGUCACGAGGAUAAAUCAAAACUGAAAACAUAAAUCAAAAUUUAAAACUGAAAGUAUCACUUAUAGCCAGUGGGAAUCGGA
rnacentral:misc_RNA from 1 species